rnacentral:rRNA from 1 species
UACGGGGGGGGCAAGCGUUGUUCGGAAUUACUGGGCGUAAAGGGCGCGUAGGCGGCCUGCUAAGUCGGACGUGAAAUCCCCCGGCUCAACCGGGGAACUGCGUCCGAUACUGGUGGGCUCGAAUCCGGGAGAGGGAUGUGGAAUUCCAGGUGUAGCGGUGAAAUGCGUAGAUAUCUGGAGGAACACCGGUGGCGAAGGCGGCAUCCUGGACCGGCAUUGACGCUGAGGCGCGAAAGCCAGGGGAGCAAAGCGGG